rnacentral:rRNA from 1 species
GGGUUGUGAGGUUAAGCGACUAAGCGUACACGGUGGAUGCCCUGGCAGUCAGAGGCGAUGAAGGACGUGCUAAUCUGCGAAAAGCGCCGGCGAGGUGAUAUGAACCCUUGACCCGGCGAUGUCCGAAUGGGGAAACCCAGUGUGAUUCGUCACACUAUCGUUAACUGAAUACAUAGGUUAACGAGGCGAACCGGGGGAACUGAAACAUCUAAGUACCCCGAGGAAAAGAAAUCAACCGAGAUUCCCCCAGUAGCGGCGAGCGAACGGGGAGCAGCCCGGAGUCUGAAUCAGCUUGUGUGUUAGUGGAACGGUCUGGAAAGUCCGACGGUACAGGGUGAUAGUCCCGUACACGAAAACACACUUGCUGUGAACUCGAAGAGUAGGGCGGGACACGUGGUAUCCUGUCUGAAUAUGGGGGGACCAUCCUCCAAGGCUAAAUACUCCUGACUGACCGAUAGUGAACCAGUACCGUGAGGGAAAGGCGAAAAGAACCCCGGCGAGGGGAGUGAAAAAGAACCUGAAACCGUGUACGUACAAGCAGUGGGAGCCUCUUUAUGGGGUGACUGCGUACCUUUUGUAUAAUGGGUCAGCGACUUAUAUUCUGUAGCAAGGUUAACCGUAUAGGGGAGCCGAAGGGAAACCGAGUCUUAACUGGGCGUUAAGUUGCAGGGUAUAGACCCGAAACCCGGUGAUCUAGCCAUGGGCAGGUUGAAGGUUGGGUAACACUAACUGGAGGACCGAACCGACUAAUGUUGAAAAAUUAGCGGAUGACCUGUGGCUGGGGGUGAAAGGCCAAUCAAACCGGGAGAUAGCUGGUUCUCCCCGAAAGCUAUUUAGGUAGCGCCUCGUGAAUUCAUCUUCGGGGGUAGAGCACUGUUUCGGCUAGGGGGCCAUCCCGGCUUACCAACCCGAUGCAAACUACGAAUACCGAAGAAUGUUAUCACGGGAGACACACGGCGGGUGCUAACGUCCGUCGUGAAGAGGGAAACAACCCAGACCGCCAGCUAAGGUCCCAAAGUCAUGGUUAAGUGGGAAACGAUGUGGGAAGGCACAGACAGCCAGGAUGUUGGCUUAGAAGCAGCCAUCAUUUAAAGAAAGCGUAAUAGCUCACUGGUCGAGUCGGCCUGCGCGGAAGAUGUAACGGGGCUAAACCAUGCACCGAAGCUGCGGCAGCGACACUAUGUGUUGUUGGGUAGGGGAGCGUUCUGUAAGCCGUUGAAGGUGUGCUGUGAGGCAUGCUGGAGGUAUCAGAAGUGCGAAUGCUGACAUAAGUAACGAUAAAGCGGGUGAAAAGCCCGCUCGCCGGAAGACCAAGGGUUCCUGUCCAACGUUAAUCGGGGCAGGGUGAGUCGACCCCUAAGGCGAGGCCGAAAGGCGUAGUCGAUGGGAAACAGGUUAAUAUUCCUGUACUUGGUGUUACUGCGAAGGGGGGACGGAGAAGGCUAUGUCAGCCGGGCGACGGUUGUCCCGGUUUAAGCAUGUAGGCGGAGGUUCCAGGUAAAUCCGGUACCUUGUUAACGCUGAGGUGUGAUGACGAGGCACUACGGUGCUGAAGUGAUAAAUGCCCUGCUUCCAGGAAAAGCCUCUAAGCAUCAGGUAACACGAAAUCGUACCCCAAACCGACACAGGUGGUCAGGUAGAGAAUACCAAGGCGCUUGAGAGAACUCGGGUGAAGGAACUAGGCAAAAUGGUGCCGUAACUUCGGGAGAAGGCACGCUGAUAGGUAGGUGAAGCCCCUGCGGGCGGAGCUGAAAUCAGUCGAAGAUACCAGCUGGCUGCAACUGUUUAUUAAAAACAC